rnacentral:pre_miRNA from 1 species
UGUUAAAAAUUUUACUUAUUUGUACUAUUAAAAACUGGUAUGCUUGACGGAAUAACCAGAUAGUGACGGCAUGUUAAUUUACAAAGAUCGAUUUUAAAUAGUAGAAAUGAAUAGAAUUUUUAAUA